GGAGGGCACAGAGAUGAAUAAGAGGCCCUGGCAGCGCAGAGAGAGGGGAGAAAUGGAGUGGUAGCUGGUGGCAAGCCGUUGUUGCUGGCACAGAAGCCCUGGAAAAGGCAGCCUGAAAGCAGAGAGGACGGAGGACAUUCUGCGAGAGGUGAGCUCGACCGGUGGCGGUGGCAGGUUGUGGAAGGCCCAGCAUGCUUGGGCUGAGACAGAGAUGAGUGGAACUGGAGGAUAUCUUGCCGGCACAUAGACCUGAGGAGAGGGAGACACACAAUCAGGUGAAGAACAGAGAGGUGACGGUCGGACGCCUGGUUUGGGAGAUGAGAGACCUGGUAUGCACUUGAACCUAAGGCAACGGCAGGCGGAGUUCGGAGCUCUGCCCUUGCAUUUGGCUGCCAGAGAGGAGUGGUGGAGAUCGGGCGUCAGGAGGACGCCGCCGGCUUCACAAUUUUAAUGGACUAUUUUUGGGACUUUUAUACAACUUUGUAUAGCAUUUUUUACUUUUAGUGUUUUAGCGGACUAUAUCAAUAUUUUAUUUGACUCUUUUAUUUUAUUUUAAUAAUUGUUGUCCCUGGCCAGGGUAUUUUACUGUGUUUUGGUGUGUGCAAUAAAUCAUAUUCUUAAGAACCUUUUUUUUUUUUGGCUCUGCCACUGCUCCUCCCAUUUGGAAGGGUCCUUCUUAAAGCAAAAACCUGAUAACCCCAUUUUUUACAUUGGCUUGGUUUUAUCUGUUUAAAGAUUUUUUUUUUUUGUUAAUAUGACCAAGUGGUCAGAGGGUCUAAAUAGAUCUAAUAAAAUGACAACGCUACCUAGAGGAAUUUCACCCCCAGGAAAUAUAAAAUCUUUUAAGAGCAAAUAAAACGGGUCGCACAGGUUCAAAGAUGCACACCAAGGCAGGCUGGCUCAAAUAUUAAUACAGUUUUGUUUAUAAUUAUAGAAAUAAAAUAAAGAAUAAAACAGUAAGAAAAUUGAAUGUAGCGUUGUUGUUGACAGCGUCUUAAUUACAAUAAAACAAUCAUUGAACUAGGACUUACCAGCAGCCAUGGACCCAAAAGAAAAUCACACAGAGAAAUCACUACAGCCUGCACCCAGUACCACACAAAAAAGGAAAGUAUGAAAAUGACCCACCACCUACGGUCCCAGGGCCACUGGUGAGUCCUCCGUUCACUAUAAAAAAAAAUAAAAGCACAGGACAACCGGUUAAAAGGGUAAAAGAACACUGAGCCUCACACUCACUAUAUAUCAUUAAAAAAAAUAAAAUAAACUUCAAUCUUUAAUAAAACAAAUCACACACCCACAAACACAUGCACACAGCGCAGACUGGAGGACUUGCACUUCGCGAGUCAAACAGCAGCUCGUGUUGGUUAUAAUUGUCCAGCUUCAAUCGCAGUCCGGUACAGCUCCCCAGAAACUGGAACUAGCACAACACCCGAGCAGAGCAUCACUCUAGCUCGACCACAGAGGCGUGAGUGCAAGUAACAGGACAGAAUUAGCUGAGUAAAACCAGGUGAACCAAGAAAAGGUAGGCCCAAUUAAAAACAGCAGCUCCAACCAGGAGGAGCCCUAAAACAGCAGCUGGGCAGGCGUUUCGAUCCUCCAAUUGAUGCUACACAGAUCGCCACUGAGAGGUUAUGGCAGCAAUCAAAUCCUAAGAAAAAGAUAAAUGUAACCGUAGCCUUGUUUAAUUGGGAGUAAUAGUAAAUAUAAUUUACCCCAGGACCGGAGAUGCUAUACUGCGCUGCUGAUAAUAAUCGGAGCACCUCUCUCCGUGGUGGCUGGAGUAGAAAGGAAUAGAAAUGGCUACGCUACAAACGGGGCCGCAAAAGUAUUACUAUUAACCCAAAAGCCACGAGGGAAUCAGAGGACAAGCGAGAGCCUACCUGUAGCUGUCAUACAACCUGAUUAAUUUGCUGGAUUAAUUCAAAGGAGUGUGCCAGCAUUUACUGCUGCGUUUUACCAGAAGCACGGGAGGAAUGAACCAGAAGGAGACCAGCUUACCCUUAUACUGAAAGGCGCCACUCUGCAAUCAAUGUACAGGUGGGUUCCCCAUUAAUCCAGUCACCUAAAGACCAGCGCGAGCGCAUGAGCGAUAACAGGGCAUUAGAGCAAGCAAGGGCGAGUGAGAGAGAGAGAGAGAGAGACGAGUAGCCCAUCCGGCUACAUUAAGGACUAAGGAGGCUCUUCUAGAUGUUUUCUCCCAAAGUUUAAUCUGGCCUUUAUGGUUUUGCUGUCCUUCCUUUGGCCAAGCUAAAAACACCUCACUUUAACAAAUUUCUCUUUGGAUCUCAUUUUGGGAGUUUG
ensembl:lncRNA